rnacentral:rRNA from 1 species
AACGGAGGGGGCAAGUGUUACUCGUCAUGAUUGGGCGUAAAGGGUGCGCAGGCGGUUAAAUAAGUUAUGAGUGAAAGCUUAAUCAAAAUGGUUAAAAAGCUUAUAAGACUGUUUAACUAGAGUAUGAGAGAGGAAAAUGGAACUUUUACAGUAGAGGUGGAAUUCCUAAAGAGUAAAGGGACGACCGAAGGCGAAGGCAAUUUUCUGGAGCAUAACUGACGCUGAAGCACGAAAGCAUGGGGAGCAAACAGG